rnacentral:lncRNA from 1 species
CUUGUACUGCAGACCUAAAAAUACUGUAGAUACUUGGUCUUGGGAUGGAGGCUGGGCUCCAAAACCCUCCCCACUAGCUGAGUUUCAGAGCCCAAACAACUCCUCUGCUAUUUUUAGCCCCACAGUAUGAGCCCUAUCAGCCCAAAUCAGUUGACCCAGGCUCGGAGACUCACUGCACAGGUCUUUUUUUGCUGUGUUGAUGUAUCCUAAAAGGAGUGGGGGGAGAGAAGUAAAGAAAAGUUGGAGUUGGUGAGAGACAGGGACACAAGGGACCGAGACAACACCAGGAAAACGACUGGAUCAGGAAUCACCAAGAGCUGAUGCCACCGGGGCUCAAAAUGGACGGGACAGUGACGAGGACCACAACAACGCAGGAGCGGGAUCAAGAUCAAUGUAAGGAGGAGAUCACGGGGAAAGAAGAGCAAGAUGUAAAAUAUGAAUAUACUGAGCCAUAUGUUCCCUUCUGCUUCUGCAAGUGAAAGAGAGCGAACAGCUGCAGAUCCUGACAAGAGGAUGGAUGCAGAGCAGGGAAUGUCAGCUCUAUGGCCUGCUUUCAAUGGUGACCCAGAAGCACCUCCUUAACCCUGUCAGCAUUAAUUUAUGCCAAUUCCACCGCUGUGACAUGACGCCCCCCUCGCUCCUAUGAAGAGUUUCCAGGACAUCAAAAGGUGAAAGGCACUACAAAAGCUGUGUUGCUACAGAGAAUAGAGAGGGUCUCCAUCCAUGUGAAUGGCUUUGCCAUUGGUAGAUACUGGAGGCUGGCAGAUACUGGUGGUCAACAUUCAUUCUGAUAGAAAAAAUGUGAAUCUCAAUUUUUUAACUUUUAUUUCAAGCUAUGUAAAUGAGGUGUCUCAAUGCGUGGAUGAGACGAUGGUGUAGGGAGGAGGUGUUUAGAUUAGGAACUGGGGACACUUUUGGGAAAGGGGGCACCUAUACAGGAAGGAUGGGCUCCACUUAAACCAAAAUGGAACCAGAUUGUUGGCAUUUAAAAUUAAAAUGGUCGUAGAGCAGUUUUUAAACUAAGGGCUGGGGGAAAGCGACAGGUGCGGAGGAGCACGUAGUUCAGACAGCGACAUCUCUUAGGGGAGGAUCUAUUAAUGGAGAUUCUCUAUGUCCUAGUAAGGAGGAGAGGAUGGAAGAUGAUAAAAUACAGGCAGGAGCUGAUGAGAAACAGUCAAAUGAAGAAAAGUCCCAUUCAAUACAUCAUGUAAUAGCAGACAGCUAGAAAGUGACAAGUUUUUAAAGUGCUUAUAUACCAAUGCUAGAAGUCUUGCCUCAUUUUAAAUGAGGAUAUUGAUAUAACAGGCAUCACAGAAACUUGGUGGAAUGAGGAUAAUCAAUGGGACACAGUAAUACCAGGGCACAAAAUAUAUCAGAAGGACAGAACAGGUCAUGCUGGUGGGGGAAUG